rnacentral:pre_miRNA from 1 species
CAAGUACUCCCUCCGUCCGGAAUUACUUGUCAUCAAAAUGGAUGUGUCUAGAACUAAAAUACAUCUAGAUACAACCAUUUCAAUGACAAGUAUUUUCGGACGGAGGGAGUACAAG